GUGACACGGCCCAGAGGGGUCCGACACGCCGCUCAACGAGGGCCAGAAAGAGCGGGAGAGAAAAACCCUUCUUGCGCUCUGCAAAUAUGUGUUUGAGUUCAACUCGUCGCUGGAAACGACUUUCCGAGCAUGGGAACGAACCGUGGAAGGACCACCAUCACCAUCAGGACAUGGAACAUCAGGACCAUGUUCGAUAUUGGCAAGACCUUACAAGUAGCUGCUGAGGGGAGGAAUUACAACCUCGCCAUUCUAGGAAUCAGCGAGUCAAGAGUCUUCUGAGUGGCAGGAAGAGACUCUAACCACUACGCCACCUACCGCCGCACGCGUGUAAUCUGUAUAUUCAACUGGCUGCUGGCCUCGGUGGCUCAGGUUUAUCCCUUGAUUCUUCAGCGUUUUUAAGUGCCAGCAGUCUUGAGAAUUCUCUUGGUUUUAAUAUUUUUAUUGAAUUUUUGGGACAUUCAUCUGCGGCCUCUCCUUUCCCACUGCUGGUCUGGAGCGCUCCGAGUAUCAGCUUUUUAUAUAACAUUUCCUCAAGUUCCCCUUCACAAUGUGCUUUUUUGUUUACUUAAAUCAGCCCUCU
ensembl:lncRNA uncharacterized LOC108929357